UAUGAAAAUGCCUGAGUAAAUAUCUCGGCAUUUAUCUCCCUAAAUGUAGAAAUUACGUCAGUAAUGUCUUUGCGUAUAUUUUUCACAAAUUUUAAUAUAAAUUCACUCGCUCGUUCUAGAUCAACCGAGAAAUUGUUGCGAAAGGACAAAAUGUAUGGCAUAAAUAUUGUUAGUGUAGCAAUUUUGGUCGACAAGGCGGUGUUGCUUGUCUCCUGGCAACGUCGAAGGUAAUUGUCUAACGCGCGUUAUUUGUAACACAAAUCGUGGUCGGCCUCGAGAACCGACAGCCGUGCAACAAUUCGUUUCCUGUUCGAAUCCAGUGCGAACAGAAAAUACGGACAAAGAAGACGAAAUUGUGUCGCCCGAAGUGAGUGAAAAGAACGAGAGAGAGAAUUCUAGAGAAAUAGAUAGACAAGAAACAGAACAAUCAAGAAAUGAAAGAAAAUGUCAGCGAGAUGAAAUAAGAGAAGCGAAAGGAUCACAAUCACAAAACUCGCUUGAAGAACGUGAUAAUAAGAUAAAUGUGCAGAAGAAAGAACAACAAGAUGAAAGAAAAGUGGCAAACAAAGAAAGAAGUGGAUUCGUUACAAAACGAUGAAAAGCAGAUGACGCAACAAGAGGAAGAAGAGCAGAAAGAAGAUGAAGUUGCAUCUACAAACGAUGAGACACAAAUGGAGAAGAGAGAGGAGGAGAGAGAAACCGUACAAGUAAUCUCAACAACAACUGCUGUCAUCAACGAGCAAAGCACUGCUUCCUUCAAGACUGAUGGUAAAGAAGGAAAAGAAUUGAAGCAAGUCAGUGAACCUUCAUCAUCGGAUGAGGUUAUAUAAUCCAGUAAACAAACAAGUCUCUGACUUCGAUUGUGCGGCUGCUAGUCCAGUUGGCAUGUCAUGCUCGAGUGUAUCUGCUGUUGCCAAUGUUGUGUCUGAUAUGACGCCUGAGUCAAGCAGUUCAUUGGUUGACGAAUCGUGUACAAGUCCAUCACAAGUAGUGUGUGAAGGCGAUGAGCAACGAGUAGAAUGUAAAACUUCUUCCGAUUCCUCGAACACAAAACUCAGUGAACAAGAAUUGACUGAAGAACAUCUAGAUACAACAACAAUGAAAAAGUUGAGAAAGUGAGACUGUCUGCAGAACUUAUUGAAUAGUCUCUAGAAGCAGCUGAGCCAAAUACCAUUUGUAAUAUUGAGAGUUGUGGCACUCUUUGUGGAAAAGAAGAUGCCAAACACGUGAUACUGGACAUGAGAAGGCCAGCCACACUUGUAGAUCUUCGGUAACAAGACAUGCAAACAUUUGUAAAUAUUGAUAAAUAGCUAGAUGUAUAAACUUGACUGUAAUGUGUAGAACAAGAACAUAACUGUGUAGAUAGUUUAAUUAGAUUAGAUUAACAUAGAUAUAACAUUUAAUUUAAUUAGACUAGAUUAACAUAGAUAUAUGAUAUAGUAAUAUAC